rnacentral:rRNA from 1 species
GAUGAACGCUGGCGGCGUGCCUAAUACAUGCAAGUCGAGCGAACAGAUGAGGAGCUUGCUCCUCUGACGUUAGCGGCGGACGGGUGAGUAACACGUGGAUAACCUACCUAUAAGACUGGGAUAACUUCGGGAAACGGGAGCUAAUACCGGAUAAUAUCUUGAACCGCAUGGUUCAAUAGUGAAAGACGGUUUUGCUGUACUUUAUGGUUGGAUCCCGGCGGCAUUGGUAAGUGGGGAGGGUAAGGGCCUACCAAGGCAAGGAUCAGUAGCGGACUGAAGAGGUUGAUCGCCCACACUGGAACUGGGACACGGUCCAUACUCCUACGGGAGGCACCAGUAGGGAAUCUUCCGCAAUGGGCGAAAGCCUGCCGGAGCAACGCCGCGUGAGUGAUGAAGUUCUUCGGAUCGUAAAACUCUGUUAUUGGGGAAAAACAAAUGUGUAAUUAACUAUGCACGUCUUGACGGUACCUAAUCAGAAAGCCACGGCUAACUACGUG